GCCGGGCAUGGUGGCGCAUGCCUGUAAUCCCAGCUACUCGGGAGGCUGAGGCAGGAGAAUUGCUUGAACCCGUGAGACAGAGGUUGCAGUGAGCCGAGAUUGUGCCACUGCACUCCAUCCUGGGUAACAGAGCAAGACUCCGUCUCAA
rfam:Gorilla gorilla gorilla genomic chromosome, chr15, whole genome shotgun sequence